rnacentral:lncRNA from 10 species
UGCAAGAUCAAUAUGGUAUCCAUUUUCCACUGUCCACAGGGCAACAUCAAACAGAAGGAAACAGAAGACAGAAGACCCAGAGCAACAGGGAAUGUGCCUUUGAAGCCCUAAGCUGCCAUAUAUAUGGCUACUGUGAACACGCUGGCUACUGUGCUACAAAGAUCACACGGAGAGAACAGAUACAGAGAAACAGAGAGAGAUUCCUGGGGAACCCUAGCUGCUUCAGUUCCUAGCUUUUGAGGCAUCCCAAACCAGAGGCCAGAUGCGUGAAUGAAUGAGCUCUUGGAUGAUGGCAGCUGCAACCUUUUAGUCUUCUAGCUGAGGCCCCACACACUGUAAAACAGAGAGAAAAAAAA